GUGAGGCAAAUGAGGAACCUCAUGUUUAAUGGGUAAUUUGCGUCUGAAUAUCAUUGAUGCUAUCACCUUGGAGAUCUGAUGCCUCUC